rnacentral:lncRNA from 1 species
GCCAGAGAGCCUUCCAGCAGAAAUCAGCACCCUCCAGACCUCCUCAGAAAGUCUUCCUAAAGAAGCAAGACCUGAUGCUGCUUCCCUCAUGAAAAACUCAGGAAGCAUCUGAGUGGAAGAAUGAAGGGAACAGGAAGCCAAGUGUGUCCUAUGAAGACCUGGUUUUGAGGACGCCUACCACAGCAUGGCUUGCCAAGCGGUGUCAUGUCCGCACCCGGGAUCCAAACCAGAGAACCCCAGGCCACCGAGAAGUGGAUCAUGAGAACUUAACCGCUACGCCACCAGGCCGGCCCCGGAUCUGGGACUUUUUAAGACAUGGAAAAAUGUUUUUGUUAUAAUGUUGACUAAAAUAAGAAUAUGAUUUCAAUGACAAAAAAAAAGGAAAUAAACUGAAAAAUGUCAUUAUUUUCCCCAUGUAUACAGCAGAAAUUAUUUGAUCUCUAGACAUUAUGCAAUCAUGGUAGUUGGUGGUUAGGGUGAGAAUAAAUGCUUAUAUCUAUAUGUGUAUCGAAG